CGGAGGUUCAUUGGAAAACGGACCAGGUAAAAACACCAAGGGUUCCCUUCCUGUCAGCCUGGGGAUGCAAAGAAAAACAAAUGAGCCUGAGUGACGCUGAGCUGACAUAAUGCAGUACCGGUCACACUGGUUGAACUGGCCUCAGGCCUCUGAACAACCCCAGAGGGCGGGGACAGAAACAAGAAGAAGACGACACCGGAAAAAGACACAUUUGUGUUGAACAAGACCAGGAAGAAGGACUGAGACGUGCAAGU